rnacentral:misc_RNA from 1 species
CAACUUCUUUAGACUCCUCUUGAGCAUCCAUGUCUUUGAGAUUGCCAAAAUUUACCCUACUCAGAGAAUCAGAAAAAUCUACAUAAAGUGAUAUAUUGCCUCCACAAAUCUCUAGCUUCCUACCAGACACAACUCUAUCAAAUCCUAGCAGCUCAUCCUCCUUCAACUGCUCAUCUUUCACAGUCUUUUCAACUUCAACUUCCUCACGCACAGAACUACC